UACGAAGGUCCCAAGCGUUGUUCGGAAUCACUGGGCGUAAAGGGCGCGUAGGCGGAAUGGUAAGUCAGAUGUGAAAUCCCGGGGCUCAACCCCGGAACUGCAUUUGAUACUGGCGUACUAGAGUAAUGGAGGGGUAGCUGGAAUUCUCGGUGUAGCAGUGAAAUGCGUAGAUAUCGAGAGGAACACUCGUGGCGAAGGCGAGCUACUGGACAUUUACUGACGCUGAGGCUCGAAGGCUAGGGUAGCGAAAGGG
rnacentral:rRNA from 1 species